rnacentral:misc_RNA from 1 species
GAUGAAGAACGUAGCGAAAUGCGAUAAGUAGUGUGAAUUGCAGAAUUCAGUGAAUCAUCGAAUCUUUGAACGCACAUUGCGCCUCCUGGUAUUCCGGGGGGCAUGCCUGUUCGAGCGUCAUUUCACCACUCAAGCCUCGCUUGGUAUUGGGCAACGCGGUCCGCCGCGUGCCUCAAAUCGACCGGCUGGGUCUUCUGUCCCCUAAGCGUUGUGGAAACUAUUCGCUAAAGGGUGUUCGGGAGGCUACGCCGUAAAACAACCCCAUUUCUAAGGUUGACCUCGGAUCAGGUAGGGAUACCCGCUGAACUUAAGCAUAUCAAUAGCGGAGGA